AGUAUAUGUAUAUUCUUUUAAUCCACGAGUUAAUACUAAUCUCGGUAGAAAUGUGUAGCAAAUAAGUUGUUUGUUCCGACGAAAUGCAUAAACCACUAAAGGAAAUGGUUUCUCAAUUGCUUACUGUUUAAAAUAGUCUUAAUCUUAGUCUCAGAGCAAUAUCGAUCAAAUUCACAUAACUAUUAACAAGAGAUAUGAGAGCUGGUUUUUAGCAUUGAAUAGCAUGAAUAAUAUGAAUCAUAUCUAUUUGGAAAAUGGAUUCGAUCUUGAUAAGAAUAAACUAUAUGCUGGAAGUUUUAUGAGAAAAGUUUGAUUUUUGUGGCAUUCUGACGAAGUAUUCAUAUAAUUUGCUCUAUGCUAGCGUAAAGAAAGCAAAAUAGAAAGUUGAAGCUAACAAAUUAACAGAGAGCCAGAGAGAGAGAGAGAGAGAGAGAGAGAAACGCAAAAUGAGGGGCGUUAAUUGCUUAAAUGCACAUACAUACAUAUGUACAUAUACAUAUGUACAUGUACAUAGUGUGUAUGCACAAUCUACAUAUCGAUUUGGUAUGUAAUAAAUGUGAAACUGUUUUGUGAGAA